CACGUAGGGUGCGAGCGUUGUCCGGAAUUAUUGGGCGUAAAGAGCUCGUAGGCGGUGCGUCGCGUCGGCCGUGAAAACCUGCAGCUUAACUGUGGGCUUGCGGUCGAUACGGGCAUCACUGGAGUUCGGCAGGGGAGACUGGAAUUCCUGGUGUAGCGGUGAAAUGCGCAGAUAUCAGGAGGAACACCGGUGGCGAAGGCGGUUCUCUGGGCCUGUACUGACGCUGAGGAACGAAAGCGUGGGGAGCGAACAGG
rnacentral:rRNA from 1 species